GAUUUCUGGGUGACUGUGCUAGCCCGCUCCUUUCCGGGAGUGUGUGCCGGCAUACGUCAUUCAUCCUUCUAGAAAGCCUUGCCUGCCGUUCAUUCGGCCGGGCAUGUGCGGUCUAGAUCUUUUACUUUGAAAAAAUUAGAGUGUUUAAAGCAGGCUUUUGCUAUGAAUACAUUAGCAUGGAAUAAUAAUCUAGGACUUCGGUUCUAUUUUGUUGGUUUCUAUAACUGAAGUAAUGAUUGAUAGGGACAGUUGGGGGUGCUAGUAUUGGCCGGCCAGAGGUGAAAUUCUUGGAUUCGGUCAAGACUAACUUAUGCGAAAGCAUU
rnacentral:rRNA from 1 species